rnacentral:rRNA from 1 species
AUUGAACGCUGGCGGCAGGCCUAACACAUGCAAGUCGAGCGGAUGAGUGGAGCUUGCUCCAUGAUUCAGCGGCGGACGGGUGAGUAAUGCCUAGGAAUCUGCCUGGUAGUGGGGGACAACGUUUCGAAAGGAACGCUAAUACCGCAUACGUCCUACGGGAGAAAGCAGGGGACCUUCGGGCCUUGCGCUAUCAGAUGAGCCUAGGUCGGAUUAGCUCGUUGGUGGGGUAAAGGCUCACCAAGGCGACGAUCCGUAACUGGUCUGAGAGGAUGAUCAGUCACACUGGAACUGAGACACGGUCCAGACUCCUACGGGAGGCAGCAGUGGGGAAUAUUGGACAACGGGCGAAAGCCUGAUCCAGCCAUGCCGCGUGUGUGAAGAAGGUCUUCGGAUUGUAAAGCACUUUAAGUUGGGAGGAAGGGCAGUAAGUUAAUACCUUGCUGUUUUGACGUUACCGACAGAAUAAGCACCGGCUAACUUCGUGCCAGCAGCCGCCGUAAAAC